CAGGGCUUUUCUUCAGGAGGCAGCCAGUAUGGUGGACAGGGUGGAUGUGUGUGCCCUGGUGGAAGUUCAGGCUCUUUUGGAGGAAACCGCUACCAAGGUGGACAGGGUUCAUUGUAUUCUGGAAGUAGUCAGUAUGGUGGACAGGCAAGCACCUUUUUUUUUUUUUCCUAAGCUCUUCUUCCUACUUGAUAUUUAUUAAAUGAAAAAUACGAUGCAGUACAUAUACUGCCAGUCGGGUUUUCAGUCAUUUUACACUCAAUAAAUAUCUGAAAAUAGGAACCAUUUCUCAGUAGCUGUAAUGAAGUAGUAUGAACAAACUUCAAUUGACAGAAGCUGCAUAGAUCAUGAUUUCAGUUGUUUUACCCAAGAAUGCCU